CUACGUGCCAGCAGCCGCGGUAAUACGUAUGUCACAAGCGUUAUCCGGAUUUAUUGGGCGUAAAGCGCGUCUAGGUGGUUAUAUAAGUCUGAUGUGAAAAUGCAGGGCUCAACUCUGUAUUGCGUUGGAAACUGUGUAACUAGAGUACUGGAGAGGUAAGCGGAACUACAAGUGUAGAGGUGAAAUUCGUAGAUAUUUGUAGGAAUGCCGAUGGGGAAGCCAGCUUACUGGACAGAUACUGACGCUGAAGCGCGAAAGCGUGGGUAGCAAACAGGAUUAGAUACCCUGGUAGUCCACGCCGUAAACGAUGAUUACUAGGUGUUGGGGGUCGAACCUCAGCGCCCAAGCAAACGCGAUAAGUAAUCCGCCUGGGGAGUACGUACGCAAGUAUGAAACUCAAAGGAAUUGACGGGGACCCGCACAAGCGGUGGAGCAUGUGGUUUAAUUCGACGCAACGCGAGGAACCUUACCAGCGUUUGACAUC
rnacentral:rRNA from 1 species